UACGUAGGGUGCAAGCGUUGUCCGGAAUUAUUGGGCGUAAAGAGCUCGUAGGCGGUCUGUUACGUCGGCUGUGAAAAACCUAGGGCUCAACCUGGGCCUGCAGCCGAUACGGGCAGACUAGAAUUCGGUAGGGGGAGACUGGAAUUCCUGGUGUAGCGGUGAAAUGCGCAGAUAUCAGGAGGAACACCGGUGGCGAAGGCGGGACUCUGGGCCGAUGACUGACGCUGGAGGAGCGAAAGCGUGGGGGAGGCAAACAGGA
rnacentral:rRNA from 1 species